AACGAACGCUGGCGGCAGGCUUAACACAUGCAAGUCGAGCGCCCCGCAAGGGGAGCGGCAGACGGGUGAGUAACGCGUGGGAAUCUACCCAUCUCUACGGAAUAACGCAUGGAAACGUGUGCUAAUACCGUAUACGUCCUUCGGGAGAAAGAUUUAUCGGAGAUGGAUGAGCCCGCGUUGGAUUAGCUAGUUGGUGGGGUAAAGGCCUACCAAGGCUACGAUCCAUAGCUGGUCUGAGAGGAUGAUCAGCCACACUGGGACUGAGACACGGCCAAGACUCCUACGGGAGGCAGCAGUGGGGAAUAUUGGACAAUGGGCGCAAGCCUGAUCCAGCCACGCCGCGUGAGUGAUGAAGGCCCUAGGGUUGUAAAGCUCUUUCACCGGUGAAGAUAAUGACGGUAACCGGAGAAGAAGCCCCGGCUAACUUCGUGCCAGCCGCCGCGGUAAUAC
rnacentral:rRNA from 1 species